rnacentral:snoRNA from 1 species
CUGCCAAAGCUGCUUGUGUUUGGUGAUGGUUAUUGUACCUGAACUACAUGGAGCUGUUGGAAGAGUAAUGAUCACACUCCACAAUGGACUAUACAGUUGUAGUUCAUCACUGAAAUGUGGUCAACAAA